rnacentral:hammerhead_ribozyme from 1 species
AUCCAGAUGACGAGUCCUAGAUAGGAAGAAACGCGUGUCCUGGAU